ensembl:lncRNA
UUUCGUCCAGUGGGUCUCAGCCCUGAAUACAUUAGAAUCACCUGGAGAGCUUUGAAAAUAUACUGAUGCUUGGACCUCAUGCCCAGAGAUACUGGUUUAAUUGGUCUGAGGUAGGGCCCAGUCAUUGCUAUGCUUUACAGAUGAUUCUAAUGUGUAUCCAGGGUUGAGAACUACUGCUUUAUUACCUUUAUGUCUCUACCUACAUAUAUGAGGCAUGGGUGGUGCUUAUCAACUUAACAGGCCACAUCAAACACAUACAAGUUAAUAGGAUACUGAUUCAAUUUAAUGGAGUACAUCUGUAACAUCUUAACAUUUUUAUAGCAUUGAAGAGCUUCCCUUGUGUUGCUCAUGGUCUGAGCACCCAGGGGAUGGAAAGCAGGGUACUUCUUUCAACACUAGUUCCAGGGUCUCUACCACUUCCAGAACUCUGAGGUCUAAGCAGCUACAGCUAAAAGAGGCAAGAGGCAAUCCACAAAUCCAACAAGGCUAGGAAUUCCAGUACAACGUUGGAGAGAAGUGGUAUUGGGGGCAUCAAUGUCUCCUUAUUGAUCUCAUCAGCUGGCUCCCUGUUCAGCUCUGCCAAGAGAAGAUGUCAGAGGCAGAGUGCAAGGAUGAAGGAGGACGAAGGGACUUUCUCCUGUUGGCUUCCUGUCUGCUUCCUGUUCCUGUGAGCAUCGCCUUAGCAACGCUUCUUCACCCAGGGAGCAGGAGCGCUUUCCCAUGGCAGCAGCUGGAUUCAGUUUGCAGUUUUUCAGCUCUAGCAGAACAAGCCUUAUUGCAUACCCUCAGAGACUCCAGCACCAGCCAGCUGGGCCCCCUCCUCAGAGGCCUGGAUCCCAGAUCCAAGAAGCCCUUCCUUUGAGCUCAUUGACACCAGCAACACCCUGUUCCCAAAAGUCUACAUUUCAGCUUCAUGAGGCCCCUCCUCCCAGCUUGCAAGUUUUAGUGAUUCUUGCCCCUUACCUUUUCUCCUCCAGCUUUAGGGAUGGUGUCUGCACUUGCUGCCUCUCUAACACUUGAGAGUCCUUCUUUUUGGUUCAUUUUCAUCAACACUUUAAUACCUGGUUAACAAUUCCUCGUAUUAAAUUAUCUCAGUUAAAAUAACUGAUAUAGCUCUCCAAUCAAUU